CACUUCAUCUAUGGACAAAAAUAUUAAGUUAAGUUUGUUUAAAUGAGUGAUACGUCACAUCACAGCAUAAAACUAUGCUGUAGACCACAACAUCCAUCUUGAUAGGCUCAUAAACUGGGUGGGACUAUCAGGCACAGCCCAUACCUGAUUCCCAUCAUAUCUGGAAGACAGGGAUUAUGUUGUUACUAUUGAUCACAAAUCAAAGCUGAUCACCAUGACAUUUGGGUCCUCCAAGGUUUGAUUCUUGAACUGCUGCACUUCAAAAAGUACGUACUCCCCCUGAGUCAGGUCACACAACAACAGCAUUACCUAUUAUGCAGAUGACACCCAGAUCUACCUAGCUCUAUCACCUAGUGACUGUGGUCCCCUGUAAUCACUGUCUGUGUUUGGAACAAGUUAAUGACUAGAUGCAGUCAGAUUUCCUCCAGUUAAAGAAAUUUAUUUUAUUUAUUUGUUUAUCUGAAAGGGAAAAUGUAUAUUCAUGAACGUAUGAAUGUAAAUAUGCCAAGAUUUGCCCUGAGGCUACUUUUCAUACAAAACUGAAGUUAUUGUUUUAGGAAAUUAGAAGGUUAGGAUGGAGGUUAUUGCUCAGCUUGGCUCCAGAGGAAUAAAGACAAAGACCCAGGUUAGAAAUCUUGGCAUUAUAAUAGAUUCAGACCUGAGUUUCACUGGUCACAUGGCUAUGACUACAUCAGCAUUUAAUCACCUUCAUAGCACGACUCAGGGGUCUAGUUUCCAGACCAGACCUAGGGAAACUUCUUCAUGCGUUCAUCUCCAGCAGGCUGGACUACUGCAACUGUCUUUUAACUGGACUACCCAAAACAGCUGUGAAGCAACCAAGAGAACCAAGCACAUCACUCCUGUUCUUGGGUCUCUACACUGGUUACCAGUAAACCACAGAAUCAAUUUCAAAGUUCUCCAACUAGUUUAUGAGUCAAUCAAUGGUAUGGGGACAGAAUACAUGUUGGGUCUCCUUCCUGUAUAUACACCCAGCAGGGUUCUCAGAUCCUUAGGAAGCAGUAAGCUGGUAGAACCUCGGGUCAAAACCAAACAGGGUGAAGCUGUUUUUAGCUACUAUGCUGCUCACAGAUGGAAUCAGCUUCCUCAUGACCUCAAAUGUGCCUCAACUCUAGUAACUUUUAAAGGAAAACCUUUUUGUAUUCAUCAGCCUUUAAAUGAAUGUUUCUUGUGCUGCACUGUAACCGCUCACUCUUUCUUUGCCUUUAUAUUUUAUUUCUUACAUUAAAUGUUUUUGUGUAUUUGAUUUCAUGAGCUGCUGUUUUAUGUUGCUGCGUUCACUGUAAGUUUCAUGUUCUUGCUGAUGUUGCACCUAGAAAGCACGUUGAACUGCUCCUGCGUAUGACAUGUGCUAUACAAAUAAAGCUUGUUGCACAUGACAUUACUUUAGCUGAGCAGCAGGAGGAAGAAAACACCCAUGAAUUAUUUUAGUAAGCACAAUUGCUUUAAAGUUCCAAUUAAUGUUUAUUGUUUUGCCCACAUUUCAUGUAUUUGUAUCAGACACAUCUUUGGGUGGCAAGAACUGUGGUACAGAAAAUAUUUCUUUCGUUGUACCUCUUCCUCCUCUCUGUUCCUUUCACCACUCUUUUCCAAAAUGAACCUAAAUGUCAGCUGAUUGUUCCAGCUACCCUUGGGUUGGAGAACAUUGCAGGAUUUCUUGACCUAAUCAUCUAGCUGACUACUGCUGCCAACCACCCCAACCACAAAGUCUGAAUGUGAGAGAGCUUCGUAAGUGACAAUCAUUACAAUAUUUGCUACAUUUUUCCUGGUAAACAAAGUAUUUAGACUCAGUCUGCAUAUAUAUUAAAUUCUGCAAAGACCUAGCCAAUGAAAGAUAAGACUCUUUGAUAACUUUGACGACUGUCCUCUGCUUUCUGUGUCUGAUCCUUCCUGGACCCAGCCGCAAAAGUCUCCAGCUCAAACUCCUGGAUUUUGCUCCCAGCCCUCAUUAUGUCGCUACCAACAUCUGUUUGGCAGACCAGCAGAGACCCACUCAGCGUGGCUCGACUCAGCUCAACGCGGAGCGGACCACCCUGUGAUGUCAUCUGUUUAUAUCUCCGUGGGAAGAAGAAGACAAGAACUUUUAAAUGUUCUUGUGCUUUCCAAAUGCUUCUUCCCUUCUGUGAUUUCUUACAAAAACGAUUACAGGAAAAUAACUUCCUCCAGUGACCUCUUGCUCUAAUACUACCGAGUCAGUGACACAGUGGGGUGCCUGCUUGUUUGACAUAAUUUAGCAUUUUGAGCUGCAUUUAGGUGCACUUUCUGGAUUUACUUCACCAUUUGGUAUGGAUUAAGUGGGAUUAAUGUAUAAAAACACAUAUAUGACAACAUGUAAGUUAUGCAAGUUGUUAAAACCAAAAAGACGUAAAUCGGGCAAAUAAAGUAAUCGAAAAAAGAAAGUGCACAAAGAGCCAAGUGGUGUUUGUGAUUUGGCAGCAAACCUACAUGCCAGUCCUAAACUCAAACGACAGAUGCAGGGAGGGGAAGAGGAGCAUUCAGAAAGCAGAACAGAGGAGUUUCUAGAGACAUGGGAGAGGAAUGACAGGGGAAGGAAAAGUCAGUAGGAAAAAUAAUGAUUUGGGUAAAGCAGCCUGAUAAACAGAAAAGAAGGAAAAGAAAGCAAGAUUCUCUUAGAGCCUGAGAGCAUGUGCUCACACACACACCCACACACACACACACUAGUCUGUAUUUCUUUCCAUAUUAGGACUUUGUAUUAACUUCCAUGAAUUUUUGUAACUGCAUUUAUGCCUAACCCUAACCCUAACCAGUGUAUUCUUAAACCUAACUGUGACAUAAACUUAAUUCACAUCUUACCACUAAACCUCACCGCUAAGCCCUAAAACAGUAGAGGACCAGGUUUUGGUCCUAAGUAGGACAGUUGUACAAGCACACACACACACACGUGCUCACACACACGCACACACACACACACACACACACACACACACACACACACACACACACACACACACACACACACACACACACACACACACACACACACACUGGCUCAGACAUAAAGCACUGUUCAUUUGAUCACUGGACGAGUAGACCACAACCAGCAGAGCAGGCCUCCUCUGGCACGUGGCAAGGCUGUUAGCGUCAACCACUCGUUUACAAGACCCUUGAUUCACACACACACUUACACACUAAUGUUCAUUUUUUUAAACUUAUUAUAGCAGUGAGAAAAGUCAGUCUGUAUCUGAGAGUACACUCUAUAUGUGAGUCAGACCAAGCUCCUUCAGCUUCUGCUUAAGGAAUCUCAUGUACACAGAUUGGUUUGGAGACCAAACUCUGUCAUCCUGCAUCCGCUCAUCAACUUUGAAUGAACUCAACACUUGUCUGAAAAAACAACUUGUUGACAUGUAUUGACCGUAUGCUGCUCUACCCACAUUGCUUACUCUUUUUUUCACAAGAGCAUGUCUGGUGCAGGCCAUGCAUCAUUGAAAGACAUGCAGAAAAGAAUGACGAUUGAAAUGGAUUUAACCUGGCAUCAUGAAAAUUUCAGCUUGUAUAAAUACCCUACGUUCAUCAUUCACCAGUUAACGGGAGGACUCUGUGAAAAAAGGGCCCUAAGAUCACCUCCCAAGAUGUUUUAAAGACUAUGUAGAGAUUCUUGCAGAAGUCUUAGUCAAACUAAAAUGAAAUAAAACAUGAAUAUUUGGACUGACUUCUUAAUUUACUGUCAGUAAUAACUUUUGUUUUGUAAGUUGAUUAUUCUUCCUAUGUCAAAGCUUUGUGACCAGGUGUUUUUCCCCAAAAAAUGGCAGAAAACAAUUUGUCAUCUUUAGAGUGUGGUGCAUUUCUAACAAAAGCUUCAUGUGUCGGUUAUUUAAUGCAAGAAAACCGCAGAAACAUCUCAGUACAUCCACUACAUACACAACAGGUGCAGCAGAGAGCUAAAUGCUAAUAGGCUAACACAGCAGUGUCAUGAUGAGUCGUUUUGAUAAUGAGUUAGAGACUUAAAGACUGUACAACUUUUCAUAUUUUUACAUAAUUUUCUUGAGCUAGUAUGUGAUAAAAUGACCCUUUUAAAUGAAUGAAAUGUCACUCAGACCUCUGCCGCCCCCUGUGGCUGCCUCCUGUUGGACGUAGAAAAAACGGAGCUGACAUACCUGGUGCUGCAGCACGUUUCCUGCAUGUUUUAGAUCAUGAACACUGAUGAUUUGUUCAAUUUAGUGAUGAGUCGCUCCCAAUGAAGGCUAGGGAUACAUUUCAGUUUUUAGAUUAAGGUGUUAAGAAGACAAGCGCACAGUCAGCAUAUAAAUUUUACUUUUGGUUCUACGAAACAGACACUAGGGGGUGCUAAAAGCUAGCCUAACUGCCAAGUGUGCCUUUAAUGAAGAGUCUUGGUGUAAAGCUUUUGGGUCAAGGCCUAGUCUGGCUUGGAUCUCAUUGGGUGUGAAUCAAAUGGAGCUACACAGCAUUAUGGCAGCACCAGAUAAUGCUGUGUCAAAGUAAACCAAAUUUGUAGGCUUUUUAUGUAUUUUGCCUCAUCAGUUAUCUCCCGAUCCUUUUCCUGAAUGUGUUGUAGCUACAACUUGCAGUUCAUGAUUUUGAUUGAGCUCUGAUCCACAUUUCUGGCUAAUUUAUAAAUGAAAAAGAUAAAACAUAAGAAAUUAAGCUAACACCAGAACCAUUUCAAAAAGUGCUCACACUUUUUACUAGUUUGUUCUCCAAACUUUACUGAUAACCCAUCAGUACAUUUAGCUAAUUAGUAUUUAGCUUAUGUUUCACAGCCGUGCAAAUCUUGUUGUCUGCUUGUUGCCAGCUGAUUAAACAUUAGGAUGAGCUGCUUUUUGUAGAAUUGCAUCUGCUACUUUGGGUGUGUGAUAUCCUGCAGAGGUCAAACUAACAAUUAGCUCAGACCAUGAGAAGAUUAACUGCAGGCAGAAGAAAAAAAUCUGUAAUUGUGGUCCUUUAGAUUUGGCUCCAGCCCAUGUGAGAUAAGGCCCCUGAUGAGAUCUUUUGCGUGUCAGAAAACACAAUGUAUCUGAGAAAGUUGGGGAUGUCAUUAACACUUGAUGAUAUCACCCGCACUUUCUGUUUGUUUUAAUGUCUCGGUGCAUGGAAGAGAUAGAUUCCCCUCACUAUCUCCUUUUUGGUUGUGUGUGUGUGUGUGUGUGUGUGUAGGUGUGUGUGUGUGUGUGUGUGUGUGUGUGUGUGUGUGUGUGUGUGUGUGUGUGUGUGUGUGUGUGUGUGUGUGCUCAGCCCUGUGGUGACCUUGGGUUGGAUGUUUUAGCAGUCUCAUUCUGACGUUAUCAAGCAGUCCCCUGGGUAAAAUUUUUCAUGACUCCUCCAAAUUACCAACGAACAAAUGAACGAAUAAAUUAUUUGAAAGAAAUUGCAAGUGGCCCUUUCAUGAGACUUCAUAGCUUUUUUUUUAAAAAAAAAGCACUGAAUCUGAUUUUUUUUCACGAAAACAGCAGCAUUAAUAUCAGACUUGUACAAAUAAUAAUAAUAAUUAUUAUUAUGAUAAUGUUUUAUCACAUUCCUUUGAAUGAGCUAAACUGUGUACAUGCAGCAUAGCAACAAACCAAUUUCUGCAAAAUAACAAGCAUUACAUAUGAAAUUUGCUGAAGCUAAGUGUAGUUUGAUUGGAUUUACUGAUAAGCCAGAACGACGGAUAAACAUGACAGAUUAAAGAUUUUUCACAUCUCAGAGCCCGAGGUGUUUUGGCUCUGAGAUGUGAAAAAUCUUCUUCAUGCCACAAAUGAAAAAGACCAAAACAAUCUAUUUGGCUCAGACUGCUUCUUCUAACAUUGGGUAGGUAAUCGAUGCCAUGGACUUUGGUUUCUGAAGAUUUGGGAGCUACUGGCAAAGAAAAGAAAUAAGUGAUGAGAUUUCCAUCAGUUCAGUCUGCAGGUUUCUUCUCCACACACAUUUCAGAGUUAGGGCAGUUAUAGUGGAAAUGUUGUCUAAUGUAAACGUGGUGAUGGCAAUCAUGUAUGGUUUAUGCUACCAUCCACAUUCACAUUAGAGAAAGUGCUGCACAUGCAAACACAUCUAAACAACAUCUUAGAUUAGGUUUGUGCUGCACAAUGGGCCUGUGGGUUUCACUGCCACCUCAGAGCAGAAAUGACCCGUGUUUGAUUCUUGACUUGGACUUUUUGUAAAGAAUUAGCGUGUUCUUCUGGUCCAUGAAUGGCUUUUCUUCUGGUUCUCAGCUUUCCUCCCACAACCCCAAAACAUGUAUAUUUGUUUUAGCUGUUGUCCAUGCCGACAUUCAUGAAAAAACUAAUAAUUUUUGUGGAAAUAAUAAAAAAAAUCACACUUUGGUUCUAAACUGACAAUGGUUUGUUGCAUUCCUAAAGAUUCUAACUAUCAUGUCACAGUUUAGUCACAAAGUGUCUAAUUCUUUCACAAUUCAUCCUAAUAACUUUUGCAUUAUGUCAUCUUCAAACUGUAUGAACUUAUUUGUGUCACUGAUUAGUCAAACCUUUGACUGACUGGUUGUUACACAUUUCUUGCACAAAUGAUGUCACAGAAACAAAAUUGAAAAAGGCUGCAGGCAGGUUUCAGAUACCCAUCACGACUCGGUGGCACAAUGUUUGUUUUUCUAGUGUUUCAUGAUGUUCCAAAUUCAAGCAACACAAGAGAGAGGCCCCGUGUCCCAUGCAUUAAUAAUCUCCAGGAACAUUUAAGACAUUUGGUUGAUUUCUUCAUUAAUUCUGCUUGUAGGCUGUUGGCAUCAGUCUAGGCCCAGUGGUACACAGACUUUUUUUAACUACUCUAAACUGGUCCUAUGUUUGAGUGAGGGUUAACCCUCUCAGGCUCAACAUAAGUUUUGAUAAAAGGAUGAACAACUAAGUCCUUCAGGGGUACUUCUGAUUUAAAAGAUGCUCAUGAAAUACGCAUGUGGAGUAACCAGGUAGGUAGGUUUUAACGUUGCAAAUCUUCAACGCCUGCUUCCAGAGGGUUAAAAGCUGUCUGUUUCUAUGUGUGAUGGAUGGAUGGAUGGAUUAAUUGAUGAAUGAUUGGAUGGAUGGAUGAACGGACAACUGAAUGAUUGGAUAGAUGGAUGAAUGAUUGGAUUGAUGUACAGAUGAAUGGAUAAAUGGAUGGAUGGAUGGAUGAAACUUUUAGCACCACAUAGGGUCUGCUCCUUUUAUUCAGUCUGAGAAUCUCCUCACAUUUAACCCCCUAAACAGAUGAGCAGAACAAACAUGCUGGUUCUCCUAUAGAGCAAUGCCAAAGAAGGACCUAAUGUGGUUCUUGAGAGUGACCGGUGAUUUGGCAAAGUGAGUCAAAAGAACCUCCAAAUGUUGCAUAAGAAGCUGCUGUCAGAUAUACAGCGCGUCCUCCAUGUCUCAACAAAUGUGAAUGUCAUUAAGUCUGACUGCUGCUGAGAACUGGUCAUAGCUGCAGGAGGGAGUGCAUUUAUGUGAAUCAAAGAGCAUGACAUGUUUCGCCCAAUGUGUGUUUGUGUGUGUGUGUGUGUGUGUGUGUGUGUGUGUGUGUGUGUGUGUGUGUGUGUGUGUGUGUGUGUGUGUGUGUGUGUGUGUGUGUGUGUGUGUGUGUGUGUGUGUGUGUGUGUGUGCGCGCGCGCGCGGAGAAAGGAGAGGGUUUGACUGAACUCACAUGAGAGCAGUGGAAUCUCAUUCGGUAGGGUUCCAGUCUGAGACCUGGGAUGGAACGUAAAAUAUAACAAGACUCACCAGACAGCAGCUGUGAUGCAUAGGUGUGUGAGGGUGUAUGGUUACUGCAUGGCUUACAGAGUAUAAAUCUGAGGCAGAGCCAAAAAGAGACAGCAUGCUGGUCCCACACAUAGCAUAAAGCCUUUUUCUUUAUGUUAGUGCAUCUCAGCAGUCACUGGCUGCAGCUGACACAUUCACAAAUCACCCACUAAGUCCAGAUGAGUUUAGUUUUUGUUUCCUGAGACAACCUACACUUGGCAGCCAUGCACUGGUCAUGAAAACAGACCAAGACUAAGCAGGAUGAGUGAUUUAGUAAAUCUAAAGUUAUCCUUCAGACAAUAACAAGUCAAUUUGAAAUUCAUGUAAACAGAUAAAAAAAUCUGAAAACAAUCACUUCCUGUUAAGAGUUUUCAUUCCAAACAGUUGCCAACUUUGAUGUGAUAGAAAUCCUGUUUAGGUCAUGCACACGCUGGAAAUCUCAAGAGCAUCCUGUUCCACUGACAUAGGAAAAGCCAGGGUGCAGUUCAAAAGCCUUACACAUGGAAAUGUGCUAUGUGGUACUUUUCUGAUGGGAGAGAUUCAACAAUUGAACGGUGCAAGCGAAACAAAUUGACAAUGUAUCAAGUCUCAUCUGCUUGGAUGAGACUUGAUUUUCAAUUCAUGCCUAAUUUCAAAUUAUCACUUUGGCUUGCAAACAGAUCGAUAUAAUUCCAAAUAUCUCAGACCUGAAAAGAUUAAUCAGGGAUGAAUUGCUACCACUUUUGUUCAGAGUGGCUCUGGACGUUGAGGAGCUCUCCAAUACUGCCUGGACACUGGGGGUAGUUUCCUUGGAUUGGGGUACCAGGCCCCUUGAUAUGGGCGGUUAGGUCCCUGUAUGACCAGUGUCAGAGCUUGGUCCGCAUUGCCGGCAGUAAGUCGAGCUCGUUCCUGGUGAGAGCUGAACUCCACCAAGACUGCCCUUUGUCACCGAUUCUGUUCAUCACUUUUAUGGACAGUAUUUCUAGGCACAGCCAAGGUGGAGAGGGGAUCCGUUUUGGUGGCCUAAGGAUCAGGCCUCUGCUUUUUGCAGAUGAUAUGGUCCUGCUGGUUUCAUCAGAAUGUGAUCUCCAGCUUUGGAGUAGUUUGCAGUUGAGUGUGAAGCAUCUGGGAUGAGAAUCAGCUCCUAAAUCAGAGACCAUGGUCUUGAGACAGAAAAGGGUAGAAUGUCUUCUCCAGGUCAGGGAUGAGGUCCUGCCCCAAGUGGAGGAGUUUAAGCAUCUCUGGGUCUUGUUCACACGUGAGGGAAAGAUGGAGCGUGAGAUCAAUAGGUGCGUCUGCAAUGAUGUUGUUGGUGUUGUCGUGGUGAAGAAAGAGCUGAGCCAGAAGGCGAAGUUCUCCAUUUACCGGUCUAUCUAUGUUCUUACCUCACUUAUUGUUACAAGCUUUGGGUAGUGACCGAAAGAAACAAGAUCGCAGAUACAAGCGGCUGAAAUUAGUUUUCUCAGCAGGGUGGCUGGGCUCUCCCUUUGCGAGAAGGAGGGUGAGAAGCUUGGUCAUCUGGGAGGGGCUCAGAGUAGAUCUGCUACUCCUCCACUUUGAGAGGAGCCAGUUGAGGUGGCUCUAGCAUCUGAUUAGGAUGCCUCAUGAAUGCCUCUCUGGUGAGGUUUUCUAGGCACGUCCAACCGGGAGGAGAACUGAAGGAAGACCCAGGACACACUGGAGGGACUGUCUUUCGGCUAGCCAGGGAUUACCUUGGGAUUCCCCAAGAGGAGCUAGCCCAAGUGGCUCGGGAGAGGGAGGUCUGGGCUUCUCUGCUUAGGUUGCUGCCUCCGCGACCCGACUCCAGAUAAGCAGAGGAAAAUGGAUGGACGGACAGACGUAUGGAUGGAUGGAUGAAAACUGAUACUCCAGCCCAAGGGUAGUGGUCUCUGAUUGAUCCAGUAGACAGUUUCUCUCAGGGCUAUGACUAGUUGGAGACACAAACUAGCAAGAAAAUAUGAAAUUUUCACACUUUCUAACAAAAGAAAUAUCUAAUGUGAUUUUAUUUGCAGUCUUUCUAAAACAAAACAAACUGGAGAAGUGGAAGAUGAAAGCAAGUAACAGGCCUAAGAUAAAAGAAUAAUACUCAGACAAUCAGGAUCCCAGAGGAAUAGUGUUCAGUGAUAGGAAAGCAGCUCUUUGUAAAUACCCUUGUUGGUGCAUUAAUACAAUCUUGUGCCUGUCAAACUGUUAUCUUUGUUUUUGUUCACAGAUCAAAGUAUUUUAAUAGAUAUUACACACAGUUCCCAUGAGGAUCCAGAACAACGUGUGUUAUUAGAGAUCCUCCAGAAGCCCGGUGAACUCUUCCUCAAGAUGACUCAAAAAAGAUUAAAAAUCAAACUUCAGUGGGCUCACGAAUGGAUUAAUGCUCCAUAAAUGGUACCAUUUAAAGAAAGCUGCACACGUAGACUUCUCUGAUGCGAGUGAAAAUCUGUGAACGAGCUGAAAGGUCAAGUGAAUUUUUAAAGCCGGAGCCAGAAGGCUGGGUCAGAGGGAGCUGCAUGCUGAAGACCGGUUGGUGGACUUGGCCUGGUCCACUACCAGCUGAGGGCCUGGAGCUCCACCAACUGUGGCAGACUCUGAGAAUCCAGAUGUUUCAGAGGUGAUGCAGCCAAGAUUCCUCCCUUCUGCUGCCUUUGCUUUGUGUGGACAGCUGUUUGCUCUUCAUUCAUACUUUACAUCUGAUUCAGGAUCAAAUGUCACUCCUGAAUGUUCUUGACCAAUGAGAAGAUUCUAUAUGUCUGAAACAGUUACAUUUAAUUUACUGAUGAAGUAGAAGUUGUCACACACACACUGGUAUGUGGUGAAAUGUGUUCUCCGAUUUUGACCCAUCCCUGUGGGGAGUGGGGGGCUGCAGACACAGAUGCACUCAGGAACGAUCGGGUGGUUUAAACCCCAAUCCAACCCCUUAAAGCUGAGUGUCAAGCAGGGAAGCAUUGGGUUGCAUUUUUAAGGUCCUUGGUACGACCCAUCCGGGAUUUGAACCCCAACCUCCCAGUCUCAGGGCAGACACUCAUACCAGUAGGCCACUGAGCUUUGUUACUAAGGCCCUUACCCUUAGACACAGGAAGAUCACUAAAUGUGUAUUUAAAAAACUCUGAACAGCUAAACGCACUCCAAAAUCCUGUUUAAGUGUUCGGUGUGUGCUGGCAUUUACCCUCUCUGUGAUACUCUGUGGGGCUCAGCAUGACGUAGUGGGAAUUUAACUCCAAACCUCUCUCGCAUCCAUCCAAAUGACUAAUUUUACUGUCUGGCUGUGGUGCUGCUGGACUCUACUAAUUGGAACCUGGAAAAAAAACUAUAACAGGAGACAUGAGGUAGGUGUGUUGAGGGGAGGGCGACCCACUCUCUCCUGCAUCGGUGGUUGGCGGUGGGAUGCCCAGAGGCACUUUAGGACCCUUGCUGGGAGCUGAAGCGGCACAUGAGACUUGUUGUGGGCCCUAAUGGAGGCCAGCCAUGGAGCGCCUUCCUGUGUUAAGUAGUAAACUGCUGAGUGCUCUCUCUGUGGAAGAAAACUGAUGAAUCUGCACUUCUCUGUGACUUUUACACAGCACCAGUGUUGCUUUUCUACAUGUCUGACAGCAGCAACAGUUGACUGGAACUUCAAAUAUUCCAUCUGAACACAUCAGAAUGCGACCACCUUGGUUACGGAGCUCCUGGUCUCAGCAGGGGAACACCCUGGAGGGCUGGGAUUAGGAGCAGUUUGUUUUAGUUUGGCUCCAUUCAUGAAUACACAGAGUUCACACAAACACCAAUUACGUAGACAGCGUUUGGUGUGCAUCUGUUUUUCGCAUUACCAUUAGAAACGAGUUAUUGUGGCGUGGUGAGUCUCCUUAUGUAAGUUUAGGUAUGAAAAUGUCCCAUGAAUCUAUAAGCCAGGUCAGUAGGAAGUAGAUUCCACGUGUGGGAUAAAUGUCAGGAAUACCAGGGCAGCCAACUCACAGAUGGGCAUUCCUUGUGUGGGCUAUACAGCGAUUGAGCCAACAGGCUAGGCUAACACACAGCGAGGUCAGAGUAGGUGGACAGAGGAAGUGAAGAUGUCAAACAGAUGUUCCUUCAGAUUUGUUAAUGUUAAUCUAGUGAGAGACUUGGAGUGUUAGACUUGACAUAAAGAACAUUUAAACAUAAUAAUGUGAGUUAGAACACACAUUAAUAACUAACUUUAAAACAUCUGUCAAAGUAAAAUUGAGUUAAAACUAACGUAUUAACAUACAUUUGAAUACUUAGACUCACCAGUAAGAAGUAAUAGGCCAGUUACCUUUCAGUUACUAGAUACUCACAUCUGAACAAAUAAAUGUAGUUUAUGACUUCAUAAACAGGUGUCUGUAAUUUUCUAUUUUUAGUAUUUCAUCAUCAUCAUCAUCUGCAGCAGCAGCAGCAGCAGCAUACUACUGUAUUUCUGUCUUCUUCAAUUUAAUGUUUUUUUUCUUCAGCAUGUCCGACCAUCUCACUGAGGUGAGUGCUGUCCCCACACAUCAAAACCACCAUUAGCACCAGUUAAACCAGUGUCCAAACAUGAGCACUAAACAUUAUUGAGUCUGUGUUCAUGAGCAGGGAUCAAAUUACGCGCUUCAGCCACAAGUUUCUGAAUCCAGCGUUUUCAUUGGCUCAGAAAACUUCAGAGGAUGACACAAGAUUUGUCAGAAAUUUGCUUAAAUUUCGCCUCCAGAUCUUUUGAACAUAUUUCCACAAAUGCACAUUAAAUGCAUGUUUGUGUGAUUUAAGAUUAAAACGUCUUAGAGCCAACAUAUAUUUUUGUAAUUUUUCUAAAAUUUUAAUAAACCGGUAAAUAGUUGAUCCCAUUGAUGCAGGGUUAGUUAUGGGGACUACUUGUUGCGGCGGAUUGAAACAUAAACCUCUAUGCUGUUCCUAGGUGGACAUUAGACACUUUUUAUUAGUUUUCCAAAUUUAUAAUAAUUUUGUCCUUUAGCAUCAGAAUAAUCGCGUGAUAAAUGACAGCUGUUCUGAUAACAUAAGACAUUUAUCAGAUGGUUCUGGUACCGGUGGUACCGGCUGCCUACCUUGAA